rnacentral:lncRNA from 1 species
AACGAAUCCAGUCAUCAGGCACUGAGAAAUGCUUUCCCAAACUCGAUUAAUCCAAACUGCGAAGGCAGUCGACCCCCUCUCACUCAAAAUUUCACCAAAAAUUCAGUUCAACUCCAAAUGGAGCGAGUUUUACCUUGUUGGAAAGCUAACAACAAAAUCUACAAUCACAAAAAAAUCACAUUGGAACUAAAACAAUUGAAUUACUGAUGGAGGGAAAUCUGAGGCCCUUAAAACCCUUGGAGUAAUUGGGAGGCCAAGGGAGCUAUUCACCACAAUGAAACGUGUUUUAAGAUCCAAUGACUAUCAUUCAUAACUCAAAAUCCAUGCACACCCACAAAAUUUACAAUGAGAUUUAAAAUCUAGAUGAAAUUAAAAUUAGGGUUUUUGGCCAAAUUUUAGCAUGGCUUCGUACUUCACCAAAAGAGGAGAAAGCGAGAGGGCUACAUCUCCAUCCUUGAUUUUUUAGAUCCUUAAUUUAGAUCUACGGCCUUCAUUCAUCCAAGAGCCAAUCUCAUUAUUAAGACUUAUGGCCCUU